GUUAUGCUGAUUUAAUUUGGCCUUCAUCUCUCUCAGCCAGGUCUAUCUCUCCCCGCAUUCUCUCUCUCUCCGCGUUCUCUCCAUAUCCGGAAGAUUCGUGAAGGGGAAUGGCAAAUUGGAGGCAGACAGAGAGCCGCACUUGGAGGUAAAUCCUUCGCUCGAUGGAAUCGACUGAUUUUGGGGGUUCCCCUACUCGGAUUUCUGGUGGAUAGCGAAGCGCGAAGCCUGAGGCUGACGGGGAUUGAUGUAGAUGAAGUGGACACUGAAGCGCAAAUCGAUAGUUGGAGGUAGGAGCAGAUCAAUAUGAAAGUGAGUUCUUUUGGCGUUAUGGAUAUUCAUCUCUUAUUCACAUUCCCUGGUCUCUGAAUCACUUGAUUUUUUAUUUUGAAUUGGCGAGGGAAGUUGAAAUUGGAGAUAAGAUAACAGGGGGUGGGGAUGGGGGCUCAAUUGGUUUGCUCAGAUUUCUAAAACAUGUGUGGAAGGCGUUGAAUGGUUUAAUCUGCUUACUUAGGGUUGAAUGGUUUGAUCUUUUCAAUUAGGUUUUGAGAGCUCAUCGUUGUUAGUUACAUUUAUUUUUGUAAGAUGUGUGCUGAUAGUACAUCGACAUGGGAAUUUGAUCUGUGUUAUUAAUAGUGUUUUGAUGAUCUAGCAAAGAUAGGGGUUAGGGAAUUCUAGAACUGAAUAUUCAGUUUUGUAGUAUGGUUUUUCAACAUGCCCAUGGCACCUUUUUGUAUCUUUUUAGUUUUACUGCCUUUUUUAUGUGUUCAGCUGAAAGGAUCAUGUCAUUAGGCAAAUACCAUGGACCUGAUUUAGGCGAUAAUAUAGGUAGGGAUCGGGCAAUAAUAUUGUUCGAGAUAGGCAAUAAUAUUGUUCUAGAUAGGCAAUAAUACAGGUGUGUUCUAUAUCCAUUCUAUAUUAGCAAUUUUGUAGUUUUCAUUAGGCAAAAAAUGUAGUUAGAACCAGGCAGAACAAUGCAAUCCAAUAGCUAUAUUUUUUACUCUUCCAUCAGUAAAAAAAUGUGGUUAGAACUAUGCAAAAAAUGGAAUUUAGUAGGCAUUUUCUUUACUUUUUCAUCAGGCAAUAACAUGGUUACAUCGAAGCAGAAUAAUGUAACUCAGUAGGCAAUUUUUCCAUCUUUUUUUGUCCACUUUAGGUUCUUUAAUCCAUCUUCAUUUUCCUUGUUACAUUGCAUGUCACCAAAUUAUUCAACAGUGAGAUGGGGGACCUGGAUCAGGUUAUAUAGUAGUAGAUAUUAGGCACUUCAACCAUUAAAAGGGGAAGGAAAUACUAUGUGCAGUCUGUGUGGCAGUACAUAUUUUCUGGUUCAUGCAGUUUUUGCAAAGUGUAACAACCCAAACUGCUAGAUAUCUGUUUAUGCAUUUUUGAACAACAUAGGAUCUGAAAGUGUCAGUCCUAGUGAUUUUUGCUGAAACCAAUGUGUUCUGUAGAUCAGGCAAUAGUGGAUCUAUUUGGGAAAUCCUGAUUAAAAUUGUAGCUCAGCUUCUCAAAUUAUAGAUAAAAUAGUGGAUUUGUGAUCCAUAUGUACCAUGAGUAAUUUUUCAUGUUUGUGGGGGCAGUAAGUCUAUGUGAGCCCUUUGGAUAAAGGAGAGUAGAAAUGAGAUUUACAUAUUUAUUGUGUU